rnacentral:rRNA from 1 species
UCGAACGGUAACAGGUCUUCGGACGCUGACGAGUGGCGAACGGGUGAGUAAUACAUCGGAACGUGCCCAGUCGUGGGGGAUAACUACUCGAAAGAGUAGCUAAUACCGCAUACGAUCUGAGGAUGAAAGCGGGGGACCUUCGGGCCUCGCGCGAUUGGAGCGGCCGAUGGCAGAUUAGGUAGUUGGUGGGAUAAAAGCUUACCAAGCCGACGAUCUGUAGCUGGUCUGAGAGGACGACCAGCCACACUGGGACUGAGACACGGCCCAGACUCCUACGGGAGGCAGCAGUGGGGAAUUUUGGACAAUGGGCGAAAGCCUGAUCCAGCAAUGCCGCGUGCAGGAUGAAGGCCUUCGGGUUGUAAACUGCUUUUGUACGGAACGAAAAAGCUUCUCCUAAUACGAGAGGCCCAUGACGGUACCGUAAGAAUAAGCACCGGCUAACUACGUGCCAGCAGCCGCGGUAAUACGUAGGGUGCGAGCGUUAAUCGGAAUUACUGGGCGUAAAGCGUGCGCAGGCGGUUAUGUAAGACAGAUGUGAAAUCCCCGGGCUCAACCUGGGAACUGCAUUUGUGACUGCAUGGCUAGAGUACGGUAGAGGGGGAUGGAAUUCCGCGUGUAGCAGUGAAAUGCGUAGAUAUGCGGAGGAACACCGAUGGCGAAGGCAAUCCCCUGGACCUGUACUGACGCUCAUGCACGAAAGCGUG